GAUGAACGCUGGCGGCGUGCCUAAUACAUGCAAGUCGAGCGAACAGACGAGGAGCUUGCUCCUCUGACGUUAGCGGCGGACGGGUGAGUAACACGUGGAUAACCUACCUAUAAGACUGGGAUAACUUCGGGAAACCGGAGCUAAUACCGGAUAAUAUAUUGAACCGCAUGGUUCAAUAGUGAAAGACGGUUUUGCUGUCACUUAUAGAUGGAUCCGCGCCGCAUUAGCUAGUUGGUAAGGUAACGGCUUACCAAGGCAACGAUGCGUAGCCGACCUGAGCGGCUGAUCGGCAACACUGGACCUGAGACCCGGUCCACAAUCCUCCGGUAGGCACCAGUAGGGAAUCUUCCGCAAUGGCCGAAAGCCUGACGGAGCAACGCCGCGUGAGUGAUGAAGGUCUUCGGAUCGUAAAACUCUGUUAUUAGGGAAGAACAAAUGUGUAAGUAACUAUGCACGUCUUGACGGUACCUAAUCAGAAAGCCACGGCUAACUACGUG
rnacentral:rRNA from 1 species